rnacentral:rRNA from 1 species
GACGGAGGGUGCUAGCGUUGUUCGGAAUGACUGGGCGUAAAGGGCGCGUAGGCGGCCGCUUGCGUCGGAUGUGAAAGCCCGGGGCUCAACCCCGGAACGGCAUCCGACACGGGGCGGCUCGAGACCGAGAGAGGUGAGUGGAAUACCCAGUGUAGAGGUGAAAUUCGUAGAUAUUGGGUGGAACACCGGUGGCGAAAGCGGCUCACUGGCUCGGUUCUGACGCUGAGGCGCGAAAGCUAGGGGAGCAAACAGG